CCUACGGGAGGCAGCAGUGAGGAAUAUUGGUCAAUGGACGAGAGUCUGAACCAGCCAAGUAGCGUGAAGGAUGACUGCCCUAUGGGUUGUAAACUUCUUUUAUAUGGGAAUAAAAUGUUCCACGUGUGGGAUUUUGUAUGUACCAUAUGAAUAAGGAUCGGCUAACUCCGUGCCAGCAGCCGCGGUAAUACGGAGGAUCCGAGCGUUAUCCGGAUUUAUUGGGUUUAAAGGGAGCGUAGGUGGAUUGUUAAGUCAGUUGUGAAAGUUUGCGGCUAAACCGUAAAAUUGCAGUUGAAACUGGCAGUCUUGAGUACAGUAGAGGUUGGCGGAAUUCGUGGUGUAGCGGUGAAAUGCUUAGAUAUCACGAAGAACUCCGAUUGGGAAGGCAGUUCACUGGACUGCAACUGACACUGAGGCUCGAAAGUGUGGGUAUCAAACAGGAUUAGAUACCCGAGUAGUC
rnacentral:rRNA from 1 species